rnacentral:rRNA from 1 species
UACGGAGGGGGCUAGCGUUGUUCGGAAUUACUGGGCGUAAAGCGCACGUAGGCGGCUUUGUAAGUUAGAGGUGAAAAGCCCGGGGCUCAACCCCGGAAUUGCCUUUAAGACUGCAUCGCUAGAAUUGUGGAGAGGUAAGUGGAAUUCCGAGUGUAGAGGUGAAAUUCGUAGAUAUUCGGAAGAACACCAGUGGCGAAGGCGACUUACUGGACACAUAUUGACGCUGAGGUGCGAAAGCGUGGGGAGCAAACAGG